rnacentral:tRNA from 2 species
GCCGGUGUGGUGAAAUUGGUAGACGCGCUAGACUCAAAAUCUUGUAUCCGUGAGGAUGUGUCGGUUCGAGUCCGACCACCGGUACCA